rnacentral:rRNA from 1 species
UACGUAGGGUGCGAGCGUUGUCCGGAAUUAUUGGGCGUAAAGAGCUCGUAGGCGGUGUGUCACGUCGUUCGUGAAAACCUGCAGCUUAACUGUGGGCGUGCGGUCGAUACGGGCAUCACUGGAGUUCGGCAGGGGAGACUGGAAUUCCUGGUGUAGCGGUGAAAUGCGCAGAUAUCAGGAGGAACACCGGUGGCGAAGGCGGGUCUCUGGGCCGAUACUGACGCUGAGGAGCGAAAGCAUGGGGAGCGAACAGG